AUAGAGGCGCAGGGAACAAGAGUCACCCGCAGAAAAAAGGGCGAAUGGCUGCGGGCAAAAGGGGACCCUGCCGAAAGCGCCGCGCCGGUCGCCUCCGGCAGGCCGCUUGGAGCGCAGGAAAAGAUUCUGCGGUCUGUCACAAGGAUACCCUGUGGAGCGCUAUCUGU
rnacentral:ncRNA from 1 species